UGGCACUGCCCGGGAGUGCCGCGU
rnacentral:sRNA from 1 species